UACGAGGGGGGCGAGCGUUGUUCGGAAUUAUUGGGCGUAAAGGGUGCGUAGGCGGUUCCGCAAGUCCUGUGUGAAAUCUUCGGGCUCAACUCGAAGUCUGCACGGGAAACUGCGGGGCUUGAGUGUGGGAGAGGUGAGUGGAAUUCCCGGUGUAGCGGUGAAAUGCGUAGAUAUCAGGAAGAACACCCGUGGCGAAAGCGGCUCUCUGGAACGGUACUGACGCUGAGACGCGAAAGCGUGGGGAGCGAACGGG
rnacentral:rRNA from 1 species